UACGUAGGGUGCGAGCGUUGUCCGGAAUUAUUGGGCGUAAAGGGCUCGUAGGCGGUUUGUCGCGUCGGGAGUGAAAACUCAGGGCUUAACCCUGAGCCUGCUUCCGAUACGGGCAGACUAGAGGUAUGCAGGGGAGAACGGAAUUCCUGGUGUAGCAGGUGGAAUGCGCAGAUAUCAGGAGGAACACCGGUGGCGAAGGCGGUUCUCUGGGCAUUACCUGACGCUGAGGAGCGAAAGUGUGGGGAGCAAACAGG
rnacentral:rRNA from 1 species